UAAAAACCCCGACUUCGGAAGGGGUGUAUUUAUUAGAUACAAAACCAAUGCCCUUCGGGGCUCUUUGGUGAUUCAUGAUAACUAUACGAAUCGCACGGCCUUGCGCCGGCGAUGGUUCAUUCAAAUUUCUUCCCUAUCAACUUUCGAUGUUUGGGUAUUGGCCAAACAUGGUUGCAACGGGUAACGGAGGGUUAGGGCUCGACCCCGGAGAAGGAGCCUGAGAAACGGCUACUACAUCCAAGGAAGGCAGCAGGCGCGCAAAUUACCCAAUCCCGACUCGGGGAGGUAGUGACAAUAAAUACUGAUACAGGGCCCUUUCGGGCCUUGUAAUUGGAGUGAGUACAAUUUAAAUCCCUUAACGAGGAACAAUUGGAGGGCAAGUCUGGUGCCAGCAGCCGCGGUAAUUCCAGCUCCAAUAGCGUAUAUUAAAGUUGUUGUGGUUAAAAAGCUCGUAGUUGAACCUUGGGCCUGGCUGGCCGGUCCGCCUCACCGCGUGCACUGGUCCGGCCGGGCCUUUCCCUCUGUGGAACCCCAUACCCUUCACUGGGCGUGGCGGGGAAACAGGACAUUUACUUU
rnacentral:rRNA from 1 species